rnacentral:lncRNA from 1 species
AAACUACUGGGCCAAAUUUAACCAAACUUGGCCACAAUCAUCAUUGGGGUAUCUAGUUUUAAAAAUGUGUCCGGUGACCCGGUCAACCUACCAAGAUGGCCGCCAUGGCUAAAAAUAGAACAUAGGGGUAAAAUGCAGUUUUGGCUUAUAACUCAAAAACCAAAGCAUUUAGAGCAAAUCUGACAUGGGGUAAAAUUGUUCAUCAGCUCAAGAUCUAUCUGCCC